rnacentral:rRNA from 1 species
AGUGGCGGACGGGUGAGUAACACAUGGGUGACCUACCCUGCAGAGAGGGAUACGGCGAGAAAUUGCCGACAAGACCGCAUGAGCUUUCGUCGAGGAAAGGUUCGCUCUGGGAUGGGCCUGUGGCCGAUUAGCUAGUUGGUGGGGUAAGAGCUUACCAAGGCGACGAUCGGUAGCUGGUCUGAGAGGACGAUCAGCCACUCUGGGAUUGAGAACGGCCCAGACUCCUACGGGGGGCAGCAGUGAGGAAUUUUCCGCAAUGGGGGCAACCCUGACGGAGCAACGCCGCGUGCAGGAGGAAGCUUUUCGGAGUGUAAACUGCUUUUCUGUGGGAAGAGGGACGGUACCACAGGAAGAAGCCCCGGCUAACUACGUGCCAGCAGCCGCGGUAAUACGUAGGGGGCGAGCGUUGUCCGGAGUUACUGGGCGUAAAGGGCAU